UGCCAGCCGCCGCGGUAAUACGGAGGGUGCAAGCGUUGUCCGGAUUCACUGGGUUUAAAGGGUACGUAGGCGGCGGACUAAGUCAGUGGUGAAAUGUGUCGGCUCAACCGGCAAAGUGCCAUUGAUACUGGUUUGCUAGAGUGUUGUAUAGGUGGGCGGAAUUGAUGGUGUAGCGGUGAAAUGCAUAGAUACCAUCAAGAACACCGAUUGCGAAGGCAGCUCACUGGGCAACAACUGACGCUGAGGUACGAAAGCGUGGGGAGCGAACAGGAUUAGAUA
rnacentral:rRNA from 1 species